UUGGGCGUAAGCGCGCGCAGGCGGUUUCUUAAGUCUGAUGUGAAAGCCCACGGCUUAACCGUGGAGGGUCAUUGGAAACUGGGAGACUUGAGUGCAGAAGAGGAAAGUGGAAUUCCAAGUGUAGCGGUGAAAUGCGUAGAGAUUUGGAGGAACACCAGUGGCGAAGGCGACUUUCUGGUCUGCAACUGACGCUGAGGCGCGAAAGCAUGGGGAGCAAACAGGAUUAGAUACCCUGGUAGUCCAUGCCGUAAACGAUGAGUGCUAAGUGUUAGGGGGUUUCCGCCCCUUAGUGCUGCAGCUAACGCAUUAAGCACUCCGCCUGGGGAGUACGACCGCAAGGUUGAAACUCAAAGGAAUUGACGGGGGCCCGCACAAGCGGUGGAGCAUGUGGUUUAAUUCGAAGCAACGCGAAGAACCUUACCAGGUCUUGACAUCCCAGUGACCGCUCUAGAGAUAGAGUUUUCCCUUCGGGGACAUUGGUGACAGGUGGUGCAUGGUUGUCGUCAGCUCGUGUCGUGAGAUGUUGGGUUAAGUCCCGCAACGAGCGCAACCCUUGAUCUUAGUUGCCAUCAUUUAGUUGGGCACUCUAAGGUGACUGCCGGUGACAAACCGGAGGAAGGUGGGGAUGA
rnacentral:rRNA from 1 species